AUUGAACGCUGGCGGCAGGCCUAACACAUGCAAGUCGAACGAGUGGCGGACGGGUGAGUAAUGUCUGGGAAACUGCCUGAUGGAGGGGGAUAACUACUGGAAACGGUAGCUAAUACCGCAUACCAUCGGAUGUGCCCAGAUGGGAUUAGCUAGUAGGUGGGGUAAAGGCUCACCUAGGCGACGAUCCCUAGCUGGUCUGAGAGGAUGACCCGCCAACCUGGAAACUGGAACCGGUCCCGGAUCCUACGGGAGGCAGCCGGGGGGAAUAUUGCACAAUGGGCGGCAGCCUGAUGUAGCCCUGCCGCGGGUAGGAAGAAGGCCUUCGGGUUGUAAAGUAAUUUCAGCGGGGAGGCGUUACCCGGAGAAGAAGGACCGGCUAACCCCGUGCCAGGCGCCGCGGUAAUAC
rnacentral:rRNA from 1 species